GAAGGGUUUCAUGGCUUUUGCAGGUGCCAGGUUAUGUCCUGGGCAAAGGACAUAACCAAGCAGGUUUGGUUUGGCUCCCUGCCUUUCCCGAGGAUGAGUCUGCAUAAUGCUGAUCAGCCUCUGAUCCAGACCAGAGUAAUUUCAUAGACUCUGACAUCAGCCUCUGCUGGAUGCUGCUUAGCACCUGCCCCAAAAUUUGGGUGUUUUCAGCCUGGGUUGUUUUGGAUUCUAUGGCAGAUGGUCUGUCACCCCAGCCUACUGUGGUCCUACUGUACCCCCAGGCCACCUGAGGUCACAGCGAGAGGAAGAGGACAUGAGGCUAAGCCGAGUUGAGGGUGACAUCCUCCAUCUGCUGCAAUCCUCCCCACAGAGUGAGCAUGAGGAACAGGGAUCUACUCAGAAUUAAGUAUCAAUCAGGCAAAGACUUCACAUACUGCUGUGAAUAGUCAUAUCCUUCUGAAGAACUGCAGAGUGAAUGGGCCACAUAAAAUUUUCUACCAAAGACUGUUUCAUUUUCCCAUCCCAGCAUUCUGCUAUAAGUAGAGGUAUUUACCUCAUCUCCAGGAGUAAGGGGAGAAAUUGUGAUGAAGUUGACAAGAGUUGUCAGGAAACUUGCUGCAGUUUUUGGAGAAGUCCCUCAGUUAUACAUGGUGAACUGUCACAUGUAAGGUAGGACAGAAGUAAAACGCACCAGGGAAGUAAUUUUGGCUUUUUU
rnacentral:lncRNA from 1 species